AGCAGCCGCGGUAAUUCCAGCUCCAAUAGCGUAUAUUAAAGUUGUUGCAGUUAAAAAGCUCGUAGUUGAAUUUCGGGGUUAGUAGGUUGGUCAUGCCUCUGGUAUGUACUGGUCUCACUGAUUCCUCCUUCCUGAUGAGCCGUAAUGCCAUUAAUUUGGUGUUGCGGGGAAUUUGGACUGUUACUUUGAAAAAAUUAGAGUGUUUAAAGCAAGCUAACGCUUGAAUACAUUAGCAUGGAAUAAUGAAAUAGGACGUUCGAUCCUAUUUUGUUGGUUUCUAGGAUUGACGUAAUGAUUAAUAGGGAUAGUUGGGGGCAUUAGUAUUCAAUUGUCAGAGGUGAAAUUCUUGGAUUUAUUGAAGACUAACUACUGCGAAAGCAUUUGUCAAGGAUGUUUUCAUUAAUCAAGAACGAAAGUUAGGGGAUCGAAGACGAUCAGAUACCGUCGUAGUCUUAACCAUAAACUAUGCCGACUAGGGAUCGGAUGAUGUUAAUUUUUUAAUGACUCAUUCGGCGCCUUACG
rnacentral:rRNA from 1 species